rnacentral:rRNA from 1 species
CCUACGGGAGGCAGCAGUGGGGAAUAUUGCACAAUGGGGGAAACCCUGAUGCAGCGACGCCGCGUGGAGGAAGAAGGUCUUCGGAUUGUAAACUCCUGUUGUUGAGGAAUGAUAAUGACGGUACUCAACAAGGAAGUGACGGCUAACUACGUGCCAGCAC